rnacentral:rRNA from 1 species
CAGGCCUAACACAUGCAAGUCGAACGAAGCCUUCGGGGUAUAGUGGCGCACGGGUGCGUAACGCGUGGGAAUCUGCCCUGGGGUUCGGGAUAACCGUUGGAAACGACGGCUAAUACCGGAUGAUGAUGAAAAUCCAAAGAUUUAUCGCCCUGGGAUGAGCCCGCGUCCGAUUAGGUAGUUGGUGGGGUAAAGGCCUACCAAGCCGACGAUCGGUAGCUGGUCUGAGAGGAUGAUCAGCCACACUGGGACUGAGACACGGCCCAGACUCCUACGGGAGGCAGCAGUGGGGAAUAUUGGACAAUGGGCGAAAGCCUGAUCCAGCAAUGCCGCGUGAGUGAUGAAGGCCUUAGGGUUGUAAAGCUCUUUUACCCGGGAUGAUAAUGACAGUACCGGGAGAAUAAGCCCCGGCUAACUCCGUGCCAGCAGCCGCGGUAAU